CCAAAGAUGGGAAACAUGGUUUGGUCUAUGGGUUCUAGCUAAAUAGGGUCUUUGCCUACUUUAGUAUUGUAUGUGGAAAAGGGAAGGCUAGUUUUGUCAAGUAGGUGUUCAACAUGACCACCUUAGAGGAUAAUGAGUGUGUUCUAGAAGAGGAGAAGGAAAAUCUAAGUUCAUUAUUUUAGAGUUGGUGGAUGUUCAAAAUAAGUUAAGGGAAGAGUUGGAUGCCAUGACAGCCCUUGUGGCCUAGA
rnacentral:lncRNA from 1 species